rnacentral:rRNA from 2 species
UGGGCGUAAGCGCGCGCAGGCGGUUUCUUAAGUCUGAUGUGAAAGCCCACGGCUCAACCGUGGAGGGUCAUUGGAAACUGGGGAACUUGAGUGCAGAAGAGAAAAGCGGAAUUCCACGUGUAGCGGUGAAAUGCGUAGAGAUGUGGAGGAACACCAGUGGCGAAGGCGGCUUUUUGGUCUGUAACUGACGCUGAGGCGCGAAAGCGUGGGGAGCAAACAGGAUUAGAUACCCUGGUAGUCCACGCCGUAAACGAUGAGUGCUAAGUGUUAGAGGGUUUCCGCCCUUUAGUGCUGCAGCUAACGCAUUAAGCACUCCGCCUGGGGAGUACGGUCGCAAGACUGAAACUCAAAGGAAUUGACGGGGGCCCGCACAAGCGGUGGAGCAUGUGGUUUUUUUCUAAGCAACGCGAAGAACCUUACCCGGUCUUGGCAUCCUCUGA